ensembl:lncRNA
CAUAUUCUUUUUAAAAAAAUUAUUGUCAUCUGUCAGAUGGUACAGGAUGACAAAGACAAGGACAAACAGACUGAGGAACAGCUGUGAUCUUGGAGCCAUGGCUAUGUUGAACUCCAUGGUUUUGCAUUGAUGUGUCCUUCGGGGCUGUGUGGUGGUGGUGGGAUUGUGGAGAGAUGGGUGUGUUGUUUUGUGGUGUGGCUGGGGAAGGCAUUUAAUUUCAUUGUGCAAUAGCUAUUUGAAUUCCAAUUGUUCCUAAAGUAGGCCCCUUGAAUGAGUGCAAUUUGCUUAUGUCUUGUCUCACAAUUGAACUAUGGAUUCAGUGUGUUUGCUCUGGAUGGGUGUCGGAGGCACAGCAAAGACAAUCCCUCUUGCAGCCCCUUGCUGCUUUAUACGUAUAGAGUGUUUAUAUCUUGCACCGUUUAGUGACCUUUCCAAGCUGUCACUUUUCAAUGGAAGAGGAAAUGAUUCUUUUUCGGUCCCAUCAUUAAGUUGUUGCCCUCCGGGAAAUGUAACUGAUGAUCGCUGUUGAGCAAAAUAGGUGGGGAUUCUGAUCAUAACGUUGCAGGGAUUUUGGAAAGAGAAGGACAGCAAUCGUUAAUGCCAGGGUGUUCGAUGUGCUUAUUUUCUAAUAAGCCUCGCCCUUGGGCUCCGUAGCGCAAUCCACAGCUGUGUCCGGCCAGACCUCUUGCACUCAUCAGGCCGGGAACACAUACAAUCCUUCAAACUGGAAAGAAGAAAGACAACCCACAUGGACCCGGAUGGUGUCGGCCAGGCCAAGAGAUUGCCCACCGUUCCCUCACAAGGAGAAAUGACUCUGAGGGAGAUUGAGCUGCAUUUCCAGCGUUUCAGGAUCGAACGUCAGUCACCCUCCAGGCUCUUUUUUGGUGAAUGGCAGAGAAACCACGCAAAAAGCACUCAUGUCUAGACACCGAGGCUUCCACCCACUCACAGCGUCCAGCUCCCCCUCCCCACCCUCUCAUCUAUCUAUCUAUCUAUCUAUCUAUCUAUCUAUCUAUCUAUCUAUCUAUCUAUCUAUCUAUCUAUCUAUCUAUCUAUCAUCUCUCUGUCAAACCAUGGCUGGAACUUACAAUCUGAGAGAGGAAAUGCAUGAUCUAUCUAUCUAUCAUCUAUCUAUCUAUCUAUCUAUCUAUCUAUCUAUCUAUCUAUCUAUCUAUCUAUCAAUCAUCUAUGUGUGUCUGUUUUCUCUCUCCAAAAUAGAUGUUUUGCAUCACAGAGUGGAUCCUCAGUUUGCAAUGCAUGACUUGACAUGGCGCAUAUUCCUCACUUGGUUGAUGGGGGAGAGUAUGGCCCCAGUGUGGACUGGGGUGCCAGAAUCCAGUGCUUGGCAUCAGCACAGACAUCCUUCCUGGCCGGGGAGUGCCGGGCAAAGGUGGGGAAGGUGGGCAGGAGCCCCAAUUGGCCAAGGCCAGCCCCACUCCAGCUGGGAGAGCGUUAUCCUACAAGCAACUGGAGGAGCAGCAAUGGCUGGCAGAUCCCCAUUUGGCCCAAGGGCCCGUGGCUUCCUUCUUCACCAACCAGGAGCCAGGAGCAGAAGGUGCAUGCCCAAGGGGCACCACGGCCACAGAGCCUUUCCAAGGGGAGAUAUGGGCAGAAAGGGCUGGGCAAGAAGGAGAGGCAUCCAAACACUGACCGCUGUAGCAGUUGGAGUUUCAGUCUCGUGUGGCACAAUGGGGGAAAGGAAGGGUCCUGAGGCUGUUAGGAGUUGGAGUCCAAAACACAUGGAGGGAGAGCUCAAGUUGUCCCAUGCUUGGCCAAGAUGGUCAUCUGUCGAGGGGGCGUGAUUGUUCUUUUCCUGCCUCACAGAAGGGGGUUGGGCUGGAUGGCCCAUGCAGGAUCUUCCUGCUCUCUUCUGUUCUAUUAUUCUGUGUUGUCUGGUGUGGGAUCAAUCUGGGAAACACUUGGAAAUGGAAAAGGAUUGCCUCAAAGGGUUGGAGUAUUGGAAAUAGCAACCUUUCAAGCCUUCACUGUUUGUUGGUGUAUAUAUUUACUAACCUGUAUUGUAUGUAUAUGUUGAUUUGACAGUUUGACUGUACCUCUUUGGUGUGGGAUAGACAUGUGAUUGUACUGAGCAUGUUCAGACUCAGGACUCCAUUUUGUUAUCAGUAUCUGUUUGGACUUCAAUUGAGAAGUAUGUUCUUGGACUUAAAUGUUAGCUGUAUCAGUAUGCUUUAAACCUCAGUGGAGGUGGAUGCAAGUAUGCUUAUGGACUUUAGUGUGUACAAUUAUAUUUUGGACUAUGGACAAUUGAUUAAGAAUGAUACUUUGUGUACUCAACACAGAGAACUACAUUCUAUCUGUAACUGAACUUUAAUAAGAAAUGUGUCUGAAUGAUGAAUUAAUACAAGAUGUUUGUGAGGAAACAAGAUAUGUUAUUUUUCAAAGAAGACUUUGUGUUGUUUUUUUUUUUUAUCUCUGAGUACAUAUUUUAAACGAAGAGGUCUCAAGUGGGUGUAUAUCUUUUAGGCAACUGCAACUGUAAUUUCAAUUUCAACUUGAAAGAAACAACUUUAAAACUCUGCUAACCAAAUUUAUCUCUUGUAGUGGCAUGUCUUUGUCCUUGGCAGUUUAAAGACAUGGUUCUUCAGCCGAACAGCUGAGUUCCCUGUGUGCCAUUACAUUAAUGAUUGUGAAUAUCACUUGUUCAGAGGGUUGACUUCUAACAAGGUCGUGCUUUCCUUGGCUAGUGGUUUUCAAAAGGUGGUCUCCACAUGUUCAUGGAGAUUCACAUUUGCCAAACAAUUAUGACAUCCUGUUUCCUUUUCACUAAUUUAUUUAUUUCAUACUUGUCAUACAUCCAGUCCUUCUUACCCCCCCGGGGGGUGGUGGUGGUGGUGGUGGUGGUGGUGGUGGUGGUGGCAAUCAUAAUAAGGUUAUGAUUGCCAUUUUCCCCCCAAAAGGUUAUGCCACCAGAGAGUGGGUGCAGUUAUUUCCAAAAUGGAGGGAUGCCCUCAUUCAUUGCACUCUUG